ACCUGUUGGUAUUUCUGACAUUCAGGAAGGUGGGCGACAGUUUAAGUGUUGGGCAGUUCGGAGGUAGCUGAAUCUUCUGAUGCAAGAGGGGAUGCCUCUCCUCACCCUCCUGGACAGGUGACUGGACACUGGGGGUGAGAUCCUGUGCUCUGCCUCUAAGAGGCAUAGCACCAACCUCUCAACCCAGGUGGAGCAGGGCUAAGGUAGGGUUAGGCCACUCUUUCAUCCACCUGAUCCUGGGCCACUGCAGGGGCUGGAGUGACCACUAGUGUUAUUUAGACAGCUCUGUCUAAAUUAAUGGUAGCCUAUUCCUGCCAUUCAGUCUUGAUUAAAAAUUGCCAGUGAUGGAGAAUUCACCACAGCUCUUGGUAAGUUGUUCCAAAGGAUAAUUAUCCUUGCAGUUUAAAAGGCAAAACAAAAAAAAGCCUUAUUUCCAGUCUGAAUUUGUCUAGCUUCAACUUCCAGCCAUUGGAUUGUGUUAUCUUUUUGUCUGCUAGACCGAAGAGCUCAUUAUCUAAUGUUUGUUCCCUGUGUAGAUAGUUAUAAACUGUAAUCAAGUUUACAACCCCUUAACUUUCAAGAAGCUGGAUCUAUUUAGCAUAAAGAGAGUCUGUCACUAUCAGGCAUGUUUUGUAAUCCUUUAAUCAUUCUCCUGGUUCUUCUCUGAACCCCCCUCCAAUUUAUUAACAUCCUUCUUGAAUUGGGAACACCAGAAUUAAACACCCUGUUCCAGCAGUGAUCAUAUCAGUGUGUGUGUUGUGGGGGGAAAUCACCUAAUAUAACCUCCUUACUCCUAUUCAGUAUUCCCAUUUGUACAUCCAAGGAGCACAUUAGCCCUUUUGGCCAUGGCAUUGUACUAGAAGCUGAUGUUCAGCUGAUUUUUCACCAUGGCUGCCACAUCAGAGUUGCUGCUUCCUGGAAUGGAGUACCCAUCCUGUAUGUAUGGCCUAAAUUCUUUGUUCCCGGAUGUAUGACUUUAUAUUAGGCCAUAUUGAAAUGCACAUUGGCUUGUGCAGCUUACCAAGUAUUAGAGACCAGGUUGUGGGCAGUCAGGCCUAGUGAUUGGAACAGGAGUCCAAAGUCAGGAAUCAGAGCCAUGGGCUCAGAGCUGGGUUACCUGGAAUGGGGCAAGGCUGGGUCCAAGGCAGGAGCUAUCACAAGUGUGGGCAAAUGCUUUGAGAAGCCACUGCAGACCUGCUGCUGCUGGGCUUAAGAGCCAGUCUGCUGACUCUUCCAACCAAUCAGGCAGCCUACUACAGGCCAGCUGUGCGUGUUAGGUUGCUUGCAGACUGGCUCUGCUGCAAGCCCUGAUUCCUGACACCAAGUGGUCAUAUCGCUCUGUCCUCAUCUUUACUUAUCAUGCCUACAAUCUUUGUGUCACCUGCAAACUUUAUCAGUGAUGAUUUUAAUUUCUUCCAGGUCAUUAAUCAAGAUAUUAAAUAGUGUAAGCUCAUUAAUUAAAUGAUACAAGCAAGGUUAUCUUUGCCCUUAUGUAAACACAUUUGCCACCACAUGGUGCUCCAGCAACUACUCAUCACUCUACCCCUUCUCCUGAGGAUUCUCCCCUUCCUUUCCAGGACCCCACUGCAUUGUGGGACAGGAGACUGAACUGCAUGGAGGAGUCCAGAUCACUCCCAUCAUUGGCCCCCAGAGGGAAACACAAGAGAAAGAAAGGGAAACCAUUUGUCCAGUGACAAAAUAAAGAACAAAAAGAAACUGAAGAACCCAAAAAAGGCAAAAUAAAACUCACAAAAACCUACUGAAAAAUUAAAUGAAAAUAACUAAAAAUCUUCUCUAUCUCCUCAAGCACCAUCACCCAGUGGAGGUGCAACUCUGCAUAAUUAUGCAGCAGCAGCUUUGGGGGAGGGGCCGGAGCCUCUCCUGUGCCAUUGGUAUUGGUAGCAUGAGGUUGUAGUAGGGCCCAGUCCUGGACCCUCUCAAUGUAAGCAGUGCUCAUGCACCUCAGAACCAGUCUAGACAGGCAAUGGGCAGAAAAAGUAAUGUACAGGUGCAAAUAGACAUGCGCCUGCUGCUGGCAGUUGUGCUAGGAGUUCUGCAGCAAUUCACAGGUCUUGCAAAGCUUGCAGGGAGUAUUCUGUCUGUGGAUGCAGUGCUCACUGUGGCUCCAAAACAGGAUGCCUAGUCUGAAUGCUUUACACCAUUGUAACUUGCUCAGGUGUAAUCCCACUGGUUCAAGUUGGAAUGAUACAUUUUCUAAUGUAGAUUAGGCUUAGUGCUCAACCACACUGGAUGCAACUGGUGGCAUCCAAAACAUCCACUCUUCAUCCAUCAACAAUAGAUGUGCUUAUUUGCUGAAUGAUUCCACUCUCAUGACUGGUAGUAAAACAGUUAACAAUGCCCGUGCUUAACUCUGGGCUUGUCUACAUUGGCAAGGUUUGUCACCAAAAACUGGCUUUUGGCGACAAAACAGCAAUAGCAUACACACUGCAAUGUGACUUUUUUUGAAAAAACGCCUAGUUUUGGCGACAAACAACUUCCACCCCUGCGAGAGAAUUGUCUUUCCCCCUCCCUUUAUUGUUGACAGACAUGCAGUGUAGACACAAAGUUUUUUUCCCCCCCAAUUUUAUUGGCCUACAGAAAGUAUCCCACAAUUUCCAGGCUGCCUCUCUGGUCAGCGGUUUGAACUCCGCUGCCCUGUAGCCAACCCGCCCCUUCCCCUUGCAAGACCCAGGAAUUUUAAAUCUCAUUGCCUGCUGGCUUCCCAGAGGAGCUUCCCAGGUAGCUUCCCAGGUGAGCAUGGCUGGCUAUCGCACCAAACGUGCCCCUGCUUGGACCAUUGCUGAGUUGUUGGAUCUGAUCAGUAUAUGGGGAAAGGAGUCUGUUCAGUCGCAGCUGCGAGUGACCCAUAGAAAUUGGGACACAUAUGGGCAGAUUUCUCGAGGCUUGUGUGAAGAGAGCUAUGAUCGGGACACGCAGCAAUGCAGAGCAAAGAUAAAGUAGCUGAGGCAGGCGUACCAUAAGGCGUGGGAGGCGAACCAUCACUCCGCUGGUGCACCUAAGAUCUGCUGCUUCUAUAAGGAGCUGAAUGCUAUCCUCGGUGGUGCCCCCACCUUCAUCACCGAUAGCCCCGUGGAUAUUUUGCAGGCAGCAGAAAGAGAGGGUAUCCCGCAGGCUGAAAUUCUGGAUGAAGAAGUCAAGCUAGAAGAGGAUGUGGUGCUCUCAGUGGGGCAGGCAGCCAGGAACUUUUCUCCACUCCAGAAGUGCUCAGUGGGGAGCCGGAAGCAGAUGAGAUGUCGGCACAGACCUUGAAGAACAUGCCACGCACCCCCGUGGACUAGCUUCGGCAGAUAAGAAAAAACCCUAGGCGCAGCAAAGAAGACAUGUUCUGGGUGGUGCUGCAGCGCGAUGAGAGACAGACCAGGGAAUGGAAAGAGUGCUGGGAAGCCAAAAGGCAGGGCAGAAAAGAGAAUGCUGCUUUUGCUAGGCAAGCAACAGAGCGGAUGAUAAAAGUUAUGGAGGAUCAGAGAGAGAUGCUCAAGUCUUUGAUACAGCUGCAGACUGAGCAGAUCGGUGGUCGACCUCCACUGCAGCACAUGCAGAUGCACAAUUCUUUGCCAACCCCACCCCCCUCUGUGCCCACACAUUCCUUUUCACUUCACAGCACUUCUGAGUUUUCCCAUCACUCCACCCCCUUUCACAGCUUGCACAAUGAUAGCUGGAGCUACACACAGUUGUGAGGUUUUACCCUUUUUAACAAUAAAUAAAGGCUAAGGUAUUUAAUGGUA